UGGUGUAGAUGGAACUGCCGUUCACUGGCUUUGAGCUCACCUUCAUCAUUGUUGCCUUCAUCAUCUUCUCACUCUUCAGCUUGGCUUCAGUCUGCAUCCAACCCGAAGAAGCACGUCCAGAGGAAGUUGUCCAUGAAGCAAAAAAGCUACAACGAAUCAACAGGAAGCAGAGGGUGAUCACCAAGCAAGCUGAACAGAAACCAUAAAGUCAGAGAUCUCCGUCAUGAUCUGGUGGACUGCACUGUUUUGAAUGCACUGUGAUGUUUAUCACACAUAACUAAGAAUGAACUGACUUUGUUUUAUAAAACAGUGUCAUUAUGGCACACAGUGUUAAAACCGUAGCACUUUUACCAAUAUUAAGGCCACAAUAAACUUUUUUCCCCAAUGAAUGAUGCAGUCUCUAAUCUAAUGUGGCAUUUAUUUAUUAAUGUAAUGUUUACUUUACUUUUAUUAAUGUACAGCAGGAACCAUAGACUGUAUAAAAUAAUGGACGUAGCUACUGUGAUGUCAUCCACUGGUUUGGGGACUCCUGUUUUGAAGCCUGCAGUUUGGCAUUUUGGUCGUUGCCAUGGGUGGAGCUGUGGAUGAGCGAGGGGUGAAUCUGACUGAGAACUUGAGGACACUAUCCACAAACUAGGGUUACAGCGGUAUACCAGUUUCAAGGUACAUCAUGAAUGAACAUUUACAGUUAUCAUACCAUGUACAUCUGCUUAUCUCAGUACUGGAAAAGGAUGCAAGCAGAGAGAAAAUCUCACAUUUAUUUUGUUUUGUUUAUUUUUCAGAAGGGAGAUUUCUUACACAAUUUUCCAUUAAGAACUAUUUUCAAGUUCUAAUGAUAAUAAAGCGUUUGUUAAACCACAACAAAA